GACCGGUUAGCUCUGUCGGUUAGAGCGUGAUGUUGAUAACACCAAGGUCGUGGGUUCAAUCCCUGCUCAGUCA
rfam:Apaloderma vittatum contig41300, whole genome shotgun sequence.